rnacentral:rRNA from 1 species
UUCCCAUCCCGAACACGGAAGUUAAGCCUUCUUACGCCAAUGAUACUGCCCCUCUAAGAGGCGGGAAAGUAGGUUGUCGCCAAGC